rnacentral:lncRNA from 1 species
GCUGUAGAGAAGCGCGGCAAACGAGACCGUCCGAGUCUCGGGACCGAGGUCCCCCCCCCGCUCCUCAGGCGGCACCUCACGCGCACCGCUCGCGCGCCGUAUGUCUUUAAAAGCGCGUGUCUCCCGCGCCGCGCGGUAGGAGGAGUUGCGGUGACGCCGCCGACGCGAACGGCGCUCUUCACCUGCGGCUGAGCGCGAGACGCGUCGGUCGCGAGUCGCGGUCGGGACGCUCGUGCGGCGCACGCAGGCUGGGAGUGAGAGAGAGGCAGCUAGCGGAGCGCAUCCACGCGGAACACGCCGGAGAGGGAGUGGAACACGCCGCGCUCCUCCGUCCUGCCCCGCUUCGGCGCCGUCCGUCCCUUCCGGAUCGCAGACAUGAGGAGCGGGCUCGUGGCCGCGCUGCUCGUGGCCGUGUUGCUCGUGGGCGCAUCUCGGGGUGAUUACGGAAACCCGGCGCCUCAACUGCCUCACCGCCUGGGAUUUUCAGAGGGUUUUUACAAGCUGUUUGUCUCGAGGAACGUGCGGCCGGGGCGAGGCCGUCUCAGAGGAAAUCUCACUUUAAUCACUCUUUGGUGGCACGUCCGUGCAGAGAGCAGGACAGCACCCUGCGAGGCCCCCAGUUUCAUCUAAGCUCCAGGUGCGAAUGCCAGUGCUGUGCCUCUGCGGUGGAGGUACAUGGACAGCGCAAGCAGGGAUUUUUUUUUUGGUGAUAUUUUAUUGGCGUUUCA